rnacentral:rRNA from 1 species
AGAGUUUGAUCCUGGCUCAGGAUGAACUCUAGCGGCAGGCUUAACACAUGCAAGUCGAGGGGCAGCGGGGAGGAAGCUUGCUUUCUCCGCCGGCGACCGGCGCACGGGUGAGUAACACGUAUGCAACCUGCCCCUGUCAGGGGGACAACCCGCCGAAAGGCGGGCUAAACCCGCGUACAUGCCACCGGGGCAUCCCGGAGGCAGGAAAGGCUUCGGCCGGACAGGGAUGGGCAUGCGGCGCAUUAGGCAGUAGGCGGGGUAACGGCCCACCUAACCGACGAUGCGUAGGGGUUCUGAGAGGAAGGUCCCCCACACUGGUACUGAGACACGGACCAGACUCCUACGGGAGGCAGCAGUGAGGAAUAUUGGUCAAUGGUCGGGAGACUGAACCAGCCAAGCCGCGUGAGGGAGGAAGGUACAGAGUAUCGUAAACCUCUUUUGUCAGGGAACAAAGGCGGGGACGUGUCCCCGGUUGAGUGUACCUGAAGAAAAAGCAUCGGCUAACUCCGUGCCAGCAGCCGCGGUAAUACGGAGGAUGCGAGCGUUAUCCGGAUUUAUUGGGUUUAAAGGGUGCGCAGGCGGUCUGUUAAGUCAGCGGUCAAAGCCCGGGGCUCAACCCCGGCCCGCCGUUGAAACUGGCAGUCUCGAGUUGGAGAGAAGUAUGCGGAAUGCGCGGUGUAGCGGUGAAAUGCAUAGAUAUCGCGCAGAACUCCGAUUGCGAAGGCAGCAUGCCGGCUCCACACUGACGCUGAGGCACGAAAGCGUGGGUAUCGAACAGGAUUAGAUACCCUGGUAGUCCACGCAGUAAACGAUGAAUGCUGGCUGUCCGGGGGGAUUGACCCCUGGGUGGCGAAGCGAAAGCGAUAAGCAUUCCACCUGGGGAGUACGCCGGCAACGGUGAAACUCAAAGGAAUUGACGGGGGCCCGCACAAGCGGAGGAACAUGUGGUUUAAUUCGAUGAUACGCGAGGAACCUUACCCGGGCUCAAACGGGGAGUGACUCAGGCAGAGACGCCUGUUUCCCACGGGACACUCCCCGAGGUGCUGCAUGGUUGUCGUCAGCUCGUGCCGUGAGGUGUCGGCUUAAGUGCCAUAACGAGCGCAACCCCCGCGUGCAGUUGCUAACAGAUAACGCUGAGGACUCUGCACGGACUGCCGGCGCAAGCCGCGAGGAAGGCGGGGAUGACGUCAAAUCAGCACGGCCCUUACGUCCGGGGCGACACACGUGUUACAAUGGGUGGUACAGCGGGAAGCCAGGCGGCGACGCCGAGCGGAACCCGAAAUCCACUCUCAGUUCGGAUCGGAGUCUGCAACCCGACUCCGUGAAGCUGGAUUCGCUAGUAAUCGCGCAUCAGCCAUGGCGCGGUGAAUACGUUCCCGGGCCUUGCACACACCGCCCGUCA